AAACAUAGCCACUAGAUGAUAUUAUGUGGUUCUACCUGCCCAAUGUUAAUAUGAAUGGCCGCGGUACUCUGACCGUGCUAAGGUAGCGUAAUCAGUUGAUCUUUAAAUGAGGUCAGGAAUGAAUGGAUGAACCGGGUUUAGCUGUCUCUUUUCUAUUACUUUGAAUUUACUAUCUAAGUGAAAAAGCUUAGAUUAUAAAAAGGGACGAGAAGACCCUUAGAAUUUUUAUAAAAAGGUUAAUCAUAUUUACCUUACAUUUUUAUUGGGGCGAUUUAGAAAUAAUUAUAACUUUCUUUAAAAACAAGCCGAUAUUUAUAAGCAAGGAUAAAUUACCUGAGGGAUAACAGCAUAAUUCUAUAAGUGAGUUUGUGACCUCGAUGUUGGACUAGGAAACUAAUAGGCUAGCCGUUUAUUAUGUUAGGUUCUGUUCGAACUUUUAUUCCUACGUGA
rnacentral:rRNA from 1 species